CUCAUGAUGAAAGGCCGGCCAAUUCUGCGCCAGCACGUUUGCAGGGCCCCGUGAGACAAAGUUUACUACGGUGACGGCUCAU
rnacentral:SRP_RNA from 1 species